UGUCAUCUAUAUGUUUAAUGCAAGGGCUGU
rnacentral:piRNA from 1 species